rnacentral:snoRNA from 1 species
AGCCUCCAGAUUCCUUAUCCCUCACAUCGAAAUAUUGGUCUGAGUGGCUAAAAAAGAAGGAAAAGUAAAACUGAAUUGUGAAGUGGACAUGGAGUCUAGUGACAUACGAGUUCAUUUCAAACACAA